rnacentral:rRNA from 1 species
UACGUAGGGGGCGAGCGUUGUCCGGAAUCAUUGGGCGUAAAGAGCUCGUAGGCGGUUCAGUAAGUCUGCUGUGAAAGUCCAGGGCUCAACCCUGGGAUGCCGGUGGAUACUGCUGGACUAGAGUGCGGAAGAGGCGAGUGGAAUUCCCGGUGUAGCGGUGAAAUGCGCAGAUAUCGGGAGGAACACCAAUUGCGAAGGCAGCUCGCUGGGACGUUACUGACGCUGAGACGCGAAAGCGUGGGGAGCAAACAGG